rnacentral:rRNA from 1 species
UACGUAGGGUCCAAGCGUUAUCCGGAAUCACUGGGCGUAAAGCGUUCGUAGGCGGGUAUUUAAGUGAGAUGUGAAAGCGUGUGGCUCAACCAUAUCAAGCGUGUCUCAUACUGGGUACCUAGAGGAAGGCAGAGGCAAGUGGAAUUGGCAGUGUAGCAGUGAAAUGCGUAGAGAUUGCCAGGAACACCAAUGGCGAAGGCAGCUUGCUGGGCCUUUUCUGACGCUGAGGAACGAAAGCGUGGGGAGCGAACGGG